GACGAACGCUGGCGGUGUGCUUAACACGUGCAAGUCGAACGGUAAGGCCCUUUCUGGGGUUCACGAGUGGCGCACGGGUGAGUAACACGCGAGUAACCUUCCCUCAUCUCUGGGAUAACCGUCGGAAACGGUUGCUAAAUCUGGCUUUGAUCUUGCAAGGCAUCUUGGGGGUUGGUAAGAUUUUUUGUGGUUGGGGAUGGACUCGCGGCCUAUCAGCUUGUUGGUGGGGUAGUGGCUCACCAAGGCUUCGACGGGUAGCCGGCCUGAGAGGGCGAACGGACACAUUGGGACUCAGAUACGGGCCAAACUCCUGAGGGAGGCAGCAGGGGGGAAUAUUGGACAAUGGAAGGAAGUCUGAGGCAGCAACGCCGCGUGCGGGAUGACGGCCUUCGGGUUGUAAAAAGCUUUCAAUUGUGACGAAGCGUUUUUGUGACGGUAGCAGUAGAAGAAGCACCGGCUAACUACGUG
rnacentral:rRNA from 1 species